UACGGAGGAUCCGAGCGUUAUCCGGAUUUAUUGGGUUUAAAGGGUGCGCAGGCGGGAGAUUAAGUCGGCGGUGAAAUUUUGCAGCUCAACUGUAAAAGUGCCUUCGAAACUGGUUUCCUUGAGUGUGGAUGAAGUAGGCGGAAUUUGUGGUGUAGCGGUGAAAUGCAUAGAUAUCACGAGGAACUCCGAUUGCGCAGGCAGCUUACUAAACUACUACUGACGCUCAUGCACGAAGGCGUGGGGAUCAAACAGGAUUAGAUA
rnacentral:rRNA from 1 species